UACGUAGGGGGCAAGCGUUGUCCGGAAUCAUUGGGCGUAAAGAGCGCGUAGGCGGUCCGGUAAGUCCGCUCUGAAAGUCCGGGGCUCAACCCCGGGAGGCGGGCGGAUACUGCCGGGCUAGAGUCCGGAAGAGGCGAGUGGAAUUCCAGGUGUAGCGGUGAAAUGCGUAGAUAUCUGGAGGAACACCGGUGGCGAAGGCGGCAUCCUGGACCGGUAUUGACGCUGAGGCGCGAAAGCUAGGGGAGCAAACGGG
rnacentral:rRNA from 1 species